rnacentral:rRNA from 1 species
GACGUAGGGCGCGAGCGUUGUCCGGAUUUAUUGGGCGUAAAGAGCUCGUAGGCGGCUUGUCGCGUCGUCCGUGAAAACUCGGGGCUCAACCCCGAGCUUGCGGUCGAUACGGGCAGACUAGAGGUAUGCAGGGGAGAACGGAAUUCCUGGUGUAGCGGUGAAAUGCGCAGAUAUCAGGAGGAACACCGGUGGCGAAGGCGGUUCUCUGGGCAUUACCUGACGCUGAGGAGCGAAAGUGUGGGGAGCGAACAGG